rnacentral:rRNA from 1 species
GCUUUACUGUAGCCUGUAAUUGAAUCCGGGCUGAGCUUGCGCAGGAUAGGUGGGAGGCGUUGAAGUUGCCCUUGUGGGGGUAAUGGAGCCAACGGUGAGAUACCACUCUGGCGCAGCUAGGAUUCUAACUUGGAGCCGUUAGCCGGCACAAGAACCGUUGCAGGUGGGCAGUUUGACUGGGGCGGUCGCCUCCUAAAUGGUAACGGAGGCGCGCAAAGGUUCCCUCAGCACGCUUGGAAACCGUGCAUAGAGUGUAAAGGCAUAAAGGGAGCUUGACUGCAAGAGUCACAACUCAAGCAGGGACGAAAGUCGGCCUUAGUGAUCCGACGGCACUGCGUGGAAGGGCCGUCGCUCAACGGAUAAAAGUUACUCUAGGGAAAACAGGCUGAA